rnacentral:rRNA from 1 species
GACGAACGCUGGCGGCGUGCUUAACACAUGCAAGUCGAACGCUGAAGCUCAGCUUUUGUUGGGUGGAUGAGUGGCGAACGGGUGAGUAACACGUGAGUAACCUGCCCCCUUCUUUGGGAUAACGCCCGGAAACGGGUGCUAAUACUGGAUAUUCACUGGUCUUCGCAUGGGGGUUGGUGGAAAGGGUUUUUCUGGUGGGGGAUGGGCUCGCGGCCUAUCAGCUUGUUGGUGGGGUGAUGGCCUACCAAGGCUUUGACGGGUAGCCGGCCUGAGAGGGUGACCGGUCACAUUGGGACUGAGAUACGGCCCAGACUCCUACGGGAGGCAGCAGUGGGGAAUAUUGCACAAUGGGCGCAAGCCUGAUGCAGCGACGCCGCGUGAGGGAUGGAGGCCUCCGGGUUGUGAACCUCUUUCGCUCAAGGUCAAGCCGCAACAAUGGUUGUGGUGAGGGUAGUGGGUAAAGAAGCGCCGGCUAACUACGUG